UGGGAAUGGUACCCAGAUCGACUGUUGUGAUGACAACUCUGUGGAUGCACGAAUGAUGGACAGAAGUGGGCUACAGCUGAACAAUGGGAAGCAUCUACCCUACCUCUGCAGAAAAGGGACACAUUGCACUUUCCCUAAGAUAUCCAUGCACUGAGAAUAUGGACCUUCCCAGCAUCCCAGUCUGAAGCCCAGCAAGCUCAACCCCAGCUGACAUCCCAGCAAUGAAAAUCUCCCAGGAAGGAAAGACAUUCCCACAAAGUA